rnacentral:rRNA from 1 species
GAGACCUGUGCGUACAAUUGCCAGCGAACUCUGUGAUCGGGCACAAUGUACGGACUGCCUUGGAAACAAGGAGGAAGGUGCAGGCUACGAUAGGUCUGUAUGCCCCGAAUCUUCUGGGCUACACGCGCGCAACAAUGGUAGGGACAAUGGGAUGCAACACCGAAAGGUGAAGCUAAUCCUCUAAACCCUAUCUUAGUACAGAUUGAGGGCUGUAACUCGCCCUCAUGACGUCGGAAUCCCUAGUAAUCAGAAGUCAUCAUCUUCUGGUGAAUAU